rnacentral:lncRNA from 1 species
GUCCCUUAUCUCUCUUGCCUCCUAUCUUUCAUAGGUGACAAAAAAAAGGAGCUGUGAAGCAAACAGACGACAGAAAGAGAAAAUAUGACAAUUGGAAAGAACUCCAGGAAAAGCUCUGCGCGGAGCUCCAUCCGGGCCCCAAAGUUUCUGGACAAAUCCAGCGGCUUCUACGGUCGCCUUGAUGAGCCUGAGGCCGCCGGAGAAGGGGAGGAGGUGAGGGGAAAAGAAGUGGAGGAGAGGUGGAACGGGACGGAGGACAGCAACAGAGAGGGGGGAGUCGCGAGCAGCCCCAGCCCAAGUGUGGUGCACAUCUCUGGGGCGGAUGAGAGAGAAGAAGCCGAGGCGUUUGACCUUAAUGAAGGGAUGAUAGAAGACGACGGGGAGACUCUCCUCCAGAGGAAACCCAGCCGCCGCAGCAGCAGGUGGAGAAGAAGCUCUAGGAUGAAGCAGAAGGAGGGGAGAGCCGAGGAGGACGCAGCCCGGGAUGAGAAGCCCAGCCUGGGCACAGAGCGUCCAGCUGACCCACACGUCCUGGAGGACACCAGGGUGACAAUCGAGGAAGAGAUGGAGAAAGAGAAGAAGGUGAAGGAGAAGGAGCCGACGCUUGCACACUUUUCGGUUCGGGAGGAUGCGGACGACCAGGUCCUGAUCCGAGACCAGAAGAGGGGGAGACAAGAGGAGGGAGAGGAGGAGAGGAGGAUGAGGAGGGAGCAAGAGGAAGGGAUAAAGGUGGUGAAGAGGAACACGGUGAAGAAUUACCGCAAGGUCUUGGACCGAGCCUUUCGCCGCGGCUGGGAGGCCUUCAUCACCAACCUCUACAGCGUCACGCUCACACCUGUGACGUCAUCCUCGCCGCCAUCGUCUUCUUCACCUUCGUCGCAAAAGAAGCAUCAACACAACUCUAUAUUAGCCGAGUUUCAGUAGAACAGGAGAGCGACAUGGACGAUAAAAUCUAAUAUUUUGUUUAUUCAAAUCGUGAUUACGCUCCAUGUUGUGAUGGAGGACAUUUACUGUGGGGACUUUUAUUGUCUCAUGAUGUGCGAGUCACACAUUAGGCCUCGCAGAACAUAAAUUUGUUAUUACUGAGUCUUAAUCACUCAUCAUAAAGUUUACUGCCGGGUUAUGAGAGAGUGGGCACAGGCAUGCAAAAGGCCCCAACACAACAUACAAAGGAGCAAGACACAGACUUUGUAGUUGUUUUAGCUGUUUUGUGUCUGUUUGUAGUCUUUUUGAUUCCUUCCUGGUCAAUACUUGUCUUUUUGAGGGACAUUUUGCAGGUGAAGGGGGCUGUGCCUGUGCCGGCUGGAUCCGUGACAGUAAUCCAUCCAUGGCCUUGUGUCAUCAUGGUGCACAUUAUUGCACACAUAAUUUAACUUUAUGAGCUGAGGGAGCCAAGCUGCUGAUUUUACAUUGACGUCUAUGGGACUGGGUUGAAUGGAGAAGCCCAGUCUGUAUGUGACUGAGUUCAGCUGCUCCUGGUUUCCCUCCACUAUGUUGCAAAUUUCAGAUUACGUCUUAACAUCUUAGCUCUUUGUUUUCGCUCCACUAUUAAGAGCUUGGAGCACUAAUAAUCUUUGCUUCCUUUGGUUUAGCACAAUGAAACUACUAAAGUGUUGAUGUGUAACCAGACGAAGGACUUUUUCAAACGUGUAGCGAUGACUUGUUAGUGGACUUUAGUUCUGGAGAUAUUCACAUUUCUGUGUGUUAAUCAGUGCCAUUUAUUGCUGUCUGACAGUUAAUCAUUAAUGAGAGGAGGACGAACACACACAGAUAAUCAGUAUUUAGACAUUGUGAUUAACACUCACAUUUGUAUGCUAUUAAUUGUGGAUAAAUCAGUUACUAUAACCAAUGUUAAAGCAUUUAAACAUUUGUCAUCUGUGUGUGAAAUACACAAGCGUGUGUUCUGGUGAAGGUUAUUUAACCUGAAGGGACGAGGCAGGAGAGAGAGAGAGAGUGUGUGUGUGUGUGUGUGUGUGUGUGUGUGUGUGUGUGUGUGUGUGCAACUAAGAGAGAGAAAGAGAAAUUGAUAUUAUAAAUCACCAGGGGUUUUAUUGUUACCGUUGCAGUUGCACAUCACGUUUGUUAAACCCUGAAACGUCACUCAUUGGCACUUUAAAGAACUCACUAUAACUUCAGUAUCAACGUGCAACUGGUGACAAGAAGACAUCAUAUUCAGGACAUUUUAAUGUAUGAAUGACCCUUGUCACAAUGAAAAAUGUAAUGUUUACAAUAGGCCUGCUGUAAUUGACUGUUAACCACUAUGUAUCUGGUUUUAUAUUACCUGUACUCUUGCAGACUAGACUGAAUAGGUGGGA